UUUCAGGAUUGACAUCAUAUGAAUAGCCGACCAAUAACCAAGAGAACAGUUUGAGUAAAUAAGCG
ensembl:ncRNA F15A2.13 ncRNA